AGUGAACGCUGGCGGCGUGCUUAACACAUGCAAGUCGAACGAGAACGGAUUAUAGCUUGCUAUAAUUGUCAGCUAAGUGGCGCACGGGUGAGUAAUGUAUAGGUAAUAUGCCUCUUACUAAGGGAUAACAAAUGGAAACGUUUGCUAAUACCUUAUACUCCUUAUUAACAGAAGUUAAUAAGGGAAAGAUUUAUUGGUAAGAGAUUAGCCUGUAUUGUAUCAGUUAGUUGGUGGGGUAAUGGCUUACCAAGACUAUGACACAUAACUGGUUUGAGCGGAUGAUCAGUCACACUGGAACUGAGACACGGUCCAGACUCCUACGGGAGGCAGCAGUGGGGAAUAUUGCACAAUGGACGAAAGUCUGAUGCAGCAACGCCGCGUGGAGGAUGACACAUUUCGGUGCGUAAACUCCUUUUAUAUGAGAAGAUAAUGACGGUAUUAUAUGAAUAAGCACCGGCUAACUCCGUGCCAGCCGCCGCCGUAA
rnacentral:rRNA from 1 species